GGGUUGUGAGGUUAAGCGACUAAGCGUACACGGUGGAUGCCCUGGCAGUCAGAGGCGAUGAAGGACGUGCUAAUCUGCGAUAAGCGCCGGUAAGGUGAUAUGAACCGUUAUAACCGGCGAUUUCCGAAUGGGGAAACCCAGUGUGAUUCGUCACACUAUCAUUAACUGAAUCCAUAGGUUAAUGAGGCGAACCGGGGGAACUGAAACAUCUAAGUACCCCGAGGAAAAGAAAUCAACCGAGAUUCCCCCAGUAGCGGCGAGCGAACGGGGAGGAGCCCAGAGCCUGAAUCAGCAUGUGUGUUAGUGGAAGCGUCUGGAAAGGCGCGCGAUACAGGGUGACAGCCCCGUACACAAAAGCGCACAUGCUGUGAGCUCGAUGAGUAGGGCGGGACACGUGGUAUCCUGUCUGAAUAUGGGGGGACCAUCCUCCAAGGCUAAAUACUCCUGACUGACCGAUAGUGAACCAGUACCGUGAGGGAAAGGCGAAAAGAACCCCGGCGAGGGGAGUGAAAAAGAACCUGAAACCGUGUACGUACAAGCAGUGGGAGCACAGGUUUACCUGUGUGACUGCGUACCUUUUGUAUAAUGGGUCAGCGACUUAUAUUCUGUAGCAAGGUUAACCGUAUAGGGGAGCCGGAGGGAAACCGAGUCUUAAUUGGGCGUUAAGUUGCAGGGUAUAGACCCGAAACCCGGUGAUCUAGCCAUGGGCAGGUUGAAGGUUGGGUAACACUAACUGGAGGACCGAACCGACUAAUGUUGAAAAAUUAGCGGAUGACCUGUGGCUGGGGGUGAAAGGCCAAUCAAACCGGGAGAUAGCUGGUUCUCCCCGAAAGCUAUUUAGGUAGCGCCUCGUGAAUUCAUCUCCGGGGUUAGAGCACUGUUUCGGCUAGGGGGCCAUCCCGGCUUACCAACCCGAUGCAAACUGCGAAUACCGGAGAAUGUUAUCACGGGAGACACACGGCGGGUGCUAACGUCCGUCGUGAAGAGGGAAACAACCCAGACCGCCAGCUAAGGUCCCAAAGUCAUGGUUAAGUGGGAAACGAUGUGGGAAGGCCCAGACAGCCAGGAUGUUGGCUUAGAAGCAGCCAUCAUUUAAAGAAAGCGUAAUAGCUCACUGGUCGAGUCGGCCUGCGCGGAAGAUGUAACGGGGCUAAACCAUGCACCGAAGCUGCGGCAGCGA
rnacentral:rRNA from 2 species